GAUGCUUUGGGACUUGAUGCCACAAUUGAAAAGGCUCUUUGUUUUUUGGCAGGAGGCUUUUUGACAUCAGACUGUGUGAAGAAUGCCCUUGGGAAUCUUGCUCCAGAUGCAGUAAAAGAUCUGGAGAGCCUUUAUUGUCAGGUAAUAUGGUGUACU